GCAUGCGAGGGCGAUCUGGCUGUGACAUCUGUCACCCCAUUGAUGCCAGGGUUGAUUCGGCUGAUCUGGCUGACUAGGUGGGUGUCCCCUUCCUCCCUCACCACUCCAUGUGCAUCCCUCCCGAAGCUGUGUGCUCGGUCGAAGAGGACGACCCUCCCCGCUAGAGGAGGACCGUUCUUCGGUCAAGGGUAUAUGAGUAGCUGCGCUCCCCUGCUAGAACCUCCAAACAAGCUCCUUUUCAUUAGAGCCAAAGCUUUGCUGUGCUCAGGCUGGUCUCAAA
rnacentral:snRNA from 1 species